rnacentral:rRNA from 1 species
GGAUUAGAUACCCUGGUAGUCCACGCCGUAAACGAUGUCGACCAGCCGUCGGAUCCAUUCAAGGGUUUGGUGCCGCAGCUAACGCGAUAAGUCGACCGCCUGGGGAGUACGGCCGCAAGGUUAAAACUCAAAGGAAUUGACGGGGGCCCGCACAAGCGGUGGAGUAUGUUGUUUAAUUCGAAGCAACGCGAAGAACCUUACCUACACUUGACAUACCUGUCGGGAAUUGCAGAGAUGCUUUUCUUCGGUUCGGCCGGACAGGAUACAGGUGCUGCAUGGCUGUCGUCAGCUCGUGUUG